rnacentral:rRNA from 1 species
UACGUAGGGUGCAAGCGUUGUCCGGAAUUAUUGGGCGUAAAGAGCUCGUAGGUGGCCUGUCGCGUCGGCUGUGAAAACUCGGGGCUCAACUCCGAGCUUGCAGUCGAUACGGGCAGGCUAGAGUUCGGCAGGGGGAGACUGGAAUUCCUGGUGUAGCGGUGAAAUGCGCAGAUAUCAGGAGGAACACCGGUGGCGAAGGCGGGUCCCUGGACAACACCUGACACUGAGGCACGAAAGCUAGGGGAGCAAACAGG